rnacentral:rRNA from 1 species
AGAGUUUGAUCAUGGCUCAGGACGAACGCUGGCGGUGUGCUUAAGACAUGCAAGUCGUGCGGACCGUAGCAAUACGGUCAGCGGCGGACGGGUGAGUAACACGUGGAUAACCUGCCUGACUCCCCGGGAUAACAGGCCGAAAGGCCUGCUAAUACCGGGUAAGCUCACGGGGCCGCAUGGUCCUGGGAGAAAAGCUCCUGCAAGGGAGUGGGGUCAGAGGGGUCCGCGGCCCAUUAGCUAGUUGGGGGGGUAACGGCCCACCAAGGCGACGAUGGGUAGCCGGCCUGAGAGGGCGACCGGCCACACUGGGACUGAGACACGGCCCAGACUCCUACGGGAGGCAGCAGUCGGGAAUUUUGGGCAAUGGCCGAAAGGGCUGACCCAGCAACACCGCGUGAGUGAAGAAGGCCUUCGGGUUGUAAAGCUCUGUUGCCCGUGAAGAACGGUGCUAUCAGGAAAUGGGUAGCACUUGACGGUAGCGGGUGAGGAAGCUCCGGCUAACUACGUGCCAGCAGCCGCGGUAAUACGUAGGGAGCGAGCGUUGUCCGGAUUUAUUGGGCGUAAAGGGCGUGUAGGCGGCUUUUUAAGUCUGAAGUGAAACGCCAGGGCUCAACCCUGGAACUGCUUCGGAUACUGGGAAGCUUGAGUACUCUAGAGGGCAGUGGAAUUCCGGGUGUAGCAGUGAAAUGCGUAGAGAUCCGGAGGAACACCAGUGGCGAAGGCGACUGCCUGGGGAGAAACUGACGCUGAGGCGCGAAAGCUGGGGGAGCAAACGGGAUUAGAUACCCCGGUAGUCCCAGCCGUAAACGAUGAGUGCUAGGUGUAGGGGGUAUCGACCCCUCCUGUGCCGGAGUUAACGCAAUAAGCACUCCGCCUGGGGAGUACGGCCGCAAGGUUGAAACUCAAAUGAAUUGACGG